rnacentral:rRNA from 1 species
GAUGAACGCUGGCGGCGUGCUUAACACAUGCAAGUCGAACGGAAAGGCCCAAGCUUGCUUGGGUACUCGAGUGGCGAACGGGUGAGUAACACGUGGGUGAUCUGCCCUGCACUUCGGGAUAAGCCUGGGAAACUGGGUCUAAUACCGGAUAGGACCACAUUUUGGAUGGUGUGGUGGAAAGUUUUUCGGUGUGGGAUGAGCUCGCGGCCUAUCAGCUUGUUGGUGGGGUAAUGGCCUACCAAGGCGUGGACGGGUAGCCGGCCUGAGAGGGUGUACGGCCACAUUGGGACUGAGAUACGGCCCAGACUCCUACGGGAGGCAGCAGUGGGGAAUAUUGCACAAUGGGCGCAAGCCUGAUGCAGCGACGCCGCGUGGGGGAUGACGGCCUUCGGGUUGUAAACUCCUUUCGCUAGGGACGAAGCGUUAUGUGACGGUACCUGGAGAAGAAGCACCGGCUAACUACGUG